rnacentral:rRNA from 1 species
GGGCUUGACAUCCCACGAACCUGGUGGAAACAUCGGGGUGCCUUCGGGAGCCGUAAGACAGGUGCUGCAUGGCUGUCGUCAGCUCGUGUCGUGAGAUGUUGGGUUAAGUCCCGCAACGAGCGCAACCCUCACCCCUUGUUGCCAUCAGGUCAUGCUGGGCACUCUAGGGGAACCGCCCCGGUCAACGGGGAGGAAGGCGGGGAUGACGUCAAGUCAUCAUGCCCCUUACGUCCUGGGCUACACACGUGCUACAAUGGCCGGUACAAAGGGAUGCAACGCCGUGAGGCAGAGCCAAACCCAAAAAGCCGGUCUAAGUUCAGAUUGGAGUCUGCAACUCGACUCCAUGAAGGAGGAAUCGCUAGUAAUCGCGUAUCAGCACGACGCGGUGAAUACGUUCCCGGGCCUUGUACACACCGCCCGUCACACCACGAAAGCCAGCUGUACUCGAAGUCGCUGAG